CCCUACCUCCCCCCACUACCUGUCUUGGCCUCUAGAAGGUCAAUGAAACCAAGGUUUCUACCACAUUACUUUUCUAUUUGACUCCUUCCAGUCAACUGAAGUGCUAAAAAUUUGUUCAACUUGAUCUGUACAGCACCCAGAGGAGAUUUUUUUUUUAAACUUCUCCCUAGAUUAGGAAAGGAAGUUUUGGAAAAUGAUACCCAGACAUCUCCACAAACUAAUGAGGCACUUUGCUACAUUAAUGCAACAUUGAGGAGUAUAAAAAGGUGUAUAAGUAGUAUGUACAUUUUUAUUGUUACAGUUCUGGUGAUCUUAAAAUUUUCAGUAUAUACAUUUCAUCCAGUGACUAUCAAGCACCUGUUGUGUGCAAGGCACUGUGAAUUCUUGCCUUUAAGAAAUCUACAAAUCUAGUAGGGAAAGAGCCAUAUAUACAGUAAGCACUAUCUUUUAUUAGAUAUUUAACUGCCACAAAAGUGGAAGGUCUUUCUGGAAGAAGAAAUAAUUUGCUAGACACAGUGGUUUUCAAAUGUUCCCCCUUCAAAUUACAGACCCCCAAUUUAUAAAUAAGCUAAAAUAAGCCUAAAAGUACUGGUUUGAGUACAUGUAUGGGAAGGGGGACUAUGUAUUCCGUUCUCCCUACCCUCUUAUCUCCCCCCUCCACUGCCACCACUCAGUUCAUCUUUGAUUGGGUUCUCUGUGUAAUCAACAUUUCCCAUAUCAGAAAAGCCAAAACUGACUUUCCACACAUAAGAAUGGAGAUUAAGAAUACAGUACUAUAAACAUGGACUAGUGCAAAAAGCUACAGUAAUUCAUUUAAAACCCUAAACUAAAGAUUCACACUUCAAUAGGGAAGAGAUGAACGUGCCAGUGACCCUGAAGGCCCAAGCAUUUACCUCUUACAUUUGUCUUUAGGGUUUAAGGAAAUGACCUUGCCCUCUACAAACCUGGUGGGCUGUUAUUAUCUUCUAGAUGGGUAUUUCUCAAAUUUGUUAAUAUACAAAUUCAGUAGGGGUGGGGGUAAGGCUGAGACUAUUUCUAACAAGUUCUCUGGUGGUGGAGCUGCUGCCCCUCAAAAUCACACUUGGAGUAACAAGGUCCUAGAGAUGAUCUAGUUCUGAUCAUGACUUAGCCAAUCUAAACAGAGUUCCUGAGCUGGUCCAGUAACAGUCUCACUGCAAGAGGUAGAAGGGCCAAUGGCUAAAAUUGUGGCUAUGAUAGGGUUUACUUGAAUGAAAUUCAGUAUUUAUUGAGUAGCUUCUCUGUACACAGUCCUGCCCUAAAUUAGUUACCACUUUAGGGUUUCAGGUCUUCACCUCACAUAAAAAAAUUUUUUUAACUUUUUUUCACUCAGUUCCUUUUAUGUGCCAAUGUUAAGCUACAUACUUUAAGUACAUUUUUCUUAAUCUUCAGUAAUCUAAGGCAUUAUCUCAGUUUUACACAUGAGGAAAGUGACUUGCUCAAGGCCGUAUUCCAAGAGGCAAAGCCAGGUUUGGAACCAGAUCUCUUAACUUCCGAGGCCCAGGCAUUUUAAACUGUAUGACACUGCUUCCCUAAAGACUAACAAUUAAAAACUCAAUACAGUUGUAUCUCUGGAAGAUGAGUUUUUACAUCCCUGUCAACAAUAGAAUUAGAAUCCCUGAGGUGGAAGCCUUAACUCAGCAUCUAACCAGAUUAUUUUCCUUAUUAAAAAUUUUAUAAAGUUAUAAAUUUCCUUGAGAAGUGAACAUAUUUCCAUCUCCCAGUUACAAAUAAAAAAACCCUGCGGCAAGCCUGAGGGCAGCACUAGUGUGUUAAUGGCUUAAAAAAUGAUUCCAGUGUCUGCAUGCCCUCAGGCCUAGGGCGUUUAUUCCUGGAGGCCAAAGGGCUCUUGGGAUUUCUUUUGCCUUGAGGAGAACUGGCAGGAGCAACCCGGGGGUUGGAGUGGGGCUGCAAAAAGGAUUUCUGCAAGUCCAACGCAAAGUGAUAGUCUGUAUGCUCUGGCAUCUCCCAUACAGGUACCAGAGAGCCACACUUCUCACAGGGCACUUGGUCCUCAGCAGCCAGAAGACUGGAGGUAGUAGGUGCCUUCUGAGCCACCUCCAGAGCAGACUUGGAAGUUAAAGAAGCAAGGCUGCUUAGGCUGUUCUGGGCCAAAUCCAUCUCUGCAGGAGUUGCUUUGAAGGAUCCUAGCUUCAACACCUUUUCACAGACAGGGGCACAAUCUGGACACUCUGUUGGAAAACAAUUUGGUAACUCUUUAGGACUGGACUGUGGUUUUUGUGGAGGGAAGAAAACAUUAGUAAGCUGUUUCUGCUUUAGAAGCAGACUCUUCUGUUUAAAGAAGGGCUCAGUUCCUGAAGUACGACUGGUUUGGAAAGCUUUCUGGAAGAAUGAUUCCAGAGAAGUGGUUGCUUUCUUAGUGGUUGUCACCGCUGGGCCAUUUUCCUGGGUCUUAUCUUCUGAACGGAACCGGAACUCUGACAGACUUUGAACUCUGGAAUUUUUAGAGAAUGAAAUUUCACAGCUGCUUUGGUUAUCUGGUCUCAGAAAUAUUUCAAGAAAUUCCUGUCAUAAAGUUCCUCAUGUCUAAUUACCCAAAUAAAUUUUCACAUGAGUUGAAUUUUGGAAGAUGAAAUGUGCUUUUAUAUACAGAUUAGUCCCUUGAUGAGGUAAAUUUAAAAGUUAUCAUGACAGUAUCUCACUAUUCUCCUCUUUCAUGCUCAGGGACAGUCUUAUAAUCAGACAACGUUAUGCUUCCCUGUCAAUAUUUGACACUCUUGGUGAGUAGUAUUUGUUAUAGUCUGUCAAUUUACAAGGUUUAAUGUGAACAUAGUAUCACAAUUAUCAUUUGGUUCAGUAAAACCAUUCAAUAUUUGAAAAUAAAUAUACCAGGAAGUAAAAGUAAAUUAUUCUAAGAACAAAGACUCUAACUUUAGAGACCCAUACAUGUAGUACCCUUAUAUUCAGAUAUGCAGUAACUUAGGUGCCUAACUAAACUUUUUUUUAUAAUCUCCAAUGUAGAUCUAUAAAUAAGCAACCAAUUUAUCUUCCUCACAUAAUUAUAUUUACAUUGUGAAUCUGGAAUACUUUUUUCAAUUUAAGAGGCUAUGUUAAAUAAAUAAUUAUGGUAUUCCAAUACUGAAAUCAUUAAUAUCUGGACAGUAAAUGAACAUACUCCAGUAUAUACUUGGUUAUCUUUAAUGGCCAGCUGAAGUGAAGUUUAUUAUUAUGACAUUUGGUAUUACACCAGUGGAGCUUGUAACUGAGUUGGGAUGUGAGAGAGAGAUUACUGGUGAAUAGGUCACUUUCAUUAUCAAGGAAGAUGAUUUUAAGAUAGAACCAUCAAGCAGUUGAGAGAAAAGUUCCCUGAAACUUGAGUUCUGUACUCCUAAGUACAAUUGGUCAUUCCCCUGACUAUAGCAAAUUGAUAUAGGCAGGGAUAGUAUUGGUUCACUCUGCCUCUCAAACCAAAUGUAGGCAAAGAGGCUGCAGCUGAGCUGCCUUGUUUCUGGUGCUUCUACUGUGUCCUACCCCAGCUGGAAUGCUUAUAUACCCACUAAUUUUAAAUAAAGACAGGGUUUAAGUCUCAAAAGAAGAUGAGUUAGAAGGAAACUCACCAUUCAGUUUGGGUUCCUGAAGUGUUACAGUUCCUGAUGAGAGCAAAUGCAUCAUGGCUCAUCUUGUGAGCAUCAUAGCGAGGAAGGGCACAGCAGCGGCGCAGGCUGCUGAGACGUCUGUCUCCUUGGACGCGAAUGCUCACGACCAACUGAGUGGCCACCCUGUCAUUCUGUGGGUGUAAAUGGAUUGAGACAGAACUGAAGUUACCUUGAGCAUGUGGAUUCUAUAUAGUGAUGUCUGUGAGAGGAAAAAACCAGGGUGACAGAAUGGUUUGGGAAUAGGUUUAAUUUUUUAAAAUUUUGUUCUGUUUCUGAGUAUAAAUAAUUGGAGAAGACAUAAUUUAGAUGAUGGAAUAUUAGAAUAUCUAGGAUAUUUUGACAGGUAAUGGGAACAGGACAGAAUAAAUGAAAAUGGAUUCUCCUGAAUGUUUUGUUUUGUUUUUUGGUGGUGUCCGUGCAGGAAGAUUAUACUAAAUACUUGUAAUACUAUAUUCUAGUUUAUGACUGAAGGAGGGUUCAUGUAAGUCAUUGAAAGGGUGUCAGGAUUGAGUAGUGGAUCUAUUCUUUAAUCUGCUCUGAUGCUCUUAUGCUUAAGAGCAGAAGUGGACUUACCUGGUGGCACAAGUGGUUAAGAAUCCGCCUGCCAAUGCAGGGGACACAGAUUCGAUCCCUGGUCCGGGAAGAUUCCACAUGCCGCAGAGCAACUAAGCCCAUGUGCCACAACUACUGAGCCUGCGCUCUAGAGCCCGUGAGCCACAACUACUGAGCCCGUGUUCCACAACUACUGAAGCCCAUGCACCUAGAGCCCGUGCUCCUCAACAAGAGAAGCCACCGCAAUGAGAAGCCCACACACUGCUAUGAAGAGUAGCCCCUGCUCGAUGCAACUAGACAAAGCCCAUGCGCAGUAACGAAGAUCCAACGCAGCCAAAAAUUAAUUAAUUAAUUAAAAAAUACGUGUUUGUUAAA